rnacentral:rRNA from 1 species
UAGGGAAUCUUCGGCAAUGGGGGCAACCCUGACCGAGCAACGCCGCGUGAGUGAAGAAGGUUUUCGGAUCGUAAAGCUCUGUUGUAAGAGAAGAACGUGUGUGAGAGUGGAAAGUUCACACAGUGACGGUAUCUAACCAGAAAGGGACGGCUAACUACGUGCUAG